UUUUUUUCCCACUUCUUUUGCUUCGCUUCUUCCGUAGCCGUUUGCUCUCCCCUCUCUUCGCCUCUACUGGUCUCAAAGUGGAUAGUUUUGUGGUGAGUUCUUCUAAUCUUGCAUCUACAAGUUUUUUAUGCAACUGUAUGGAUUGUGUUCUGUUAAAUUUUAGAUGUUAGAAGCUUUUAAUUUUUUUUGGGUUCAAUUUUAAAUGGGUUGUUGCUUUCAGAGUUUUCGUUUGAUGACAGAGAUGGGGUUUUUGGGGAGAAACUUUUAAUCCGUGAGUUUUUUAGUUAGGUUGUGUUGUGGGUCUUGAGAAAUGGAUUUGUAAAUGGAUUUUCUAUUGAAAUUGUUUCUCUUCUCAUUUUUUUUUUGUGCCAUCGGGUUUUGCAUAUGGGUGUAUAAUCAGGUUUUCUUUUGAAUUUCAGGGGAUUCAGGUUUUUAUUUUUCUGGAACUUUUGUCUGCAGCUUUGGAAGACAUUUGUGCUUAAGGUGAGAAACUUUGGUUGCUUGCUUUUGGGUUUUGUUGUAGAAUUAAUUAAUUUUUUUUAAGAGUUACAUUCGUGGGAAUUCUUUUGUUCUUCUUUUUUCCUGCAUCUCAAAAAUGCCACAUAAUGUGAGUUUAUAAUUAAAUAAGAAUAUCAAAAUGGGUUUUCUGUGCAAAUUUUCUUUUUCUGAUUUUAUAGAACCGAAGAGGAUGUUAACAAUAACAUUAUUGUGUGAUAUGCGAUCUAAAGUUCUUUGGUGAGUUAUUUGGUUUUCUUGCCACAUGGGAUUUUAACAUAUUUUUUUUUCGUGGUUUAUGCGUGGUUCUCUGAUAUGUUUUGAUUUUUUAUUUCAGGAAAAGUUAACGAUACGAUCAAACGUUUACUGGUGAAUUUUCUAUUUUUCUGAUUGUGUGUGAUUUAAUUUUUUUCAAGCUUUGGGUGUACUUUUCUGAACUGCUUUGAUUUUUAGUUGCAGCAAAAGUUGUUGCUCGAAUUUUCCAGUUUUUAUCUGCAGCUUUGCAAGCUCUUUAUCAACAAGGUAUAUAAUUUUUAUUCUUUUUCCUGAAUCUUUUGUUGGAUGGAAUCGUUUUUUUUGUUUUUGGUGAGUUCUUCUAAUCUCGCAUCUGGUACUGUUUUUUUUUCCGACUGUAUAGAUUGUGUUUUGUUGAAUUUUAAAUGGUAGAAGCUUCUUGGGUUCAAUUUAAAUGGGUUGUUAUCAACUAUUGAAUUGUUUUCGAAGCUAUUUGGCUACUCCCUUAACGCCCUUUUUCCUUUUCUUUUCAGCUUCUUUGAUUUGCAGCCCCCUUCUUUUUUUUCCUUUUCCAGAUUUAGCUUUUUUCCCCUAUAUUGUAUCUUUUGGCUAAUUUUGUGGGUCUUGGUCAGUGCUGUGGGUAUUGGUGAAUUUCUAGCAUGUUUAUGCAUGCAGUUUUUGUUAUAAUUUAUGGAUUGUGUUUUGUUCAAUUUUUAAAUGUCAGAAGCUCUUAAUUUUUUUGGGUUCAAUUUUAAAUGGGUUGUUAUCAACCAUUGAAUUUCUUUUGGAGUAUUCAUUUGAUAAGAGAGAUGGGGGGGGGGGGGGGUUCUUUUGGGUGAAACUUUUGAUCCGUGAGAUUUUUAGUUAGGUUGUGGUGUGGGUUUUCGCAAAUUUCUAUCGUGUUUAUGCAUGCUUUUUUUUGUUAUAGAUUUGGAAGAACAUAGCAUUACAGGGUGUUGAGGGUUUGCUGGCGGGGGAAAGUAGCAGCGUUAAGAUUUUGCAGGUGAGAUAUUAGGGUGAGAGAAUAACGGGACAAAGAGCAUCGAAGACACAUUUGGGAUUAGGGGUAGCAAAACAGGGGAAAAGAAUAUGACAGAGGAAUGGACUCUUAAUUUUUUUUCUUAACUGGUUUGGGAUUUUGCUUGCCUUUGGGGUCGUUGUUGGCGUCAAGCCAUUUGGUGGUGUUAAGUGGUGUCUGUUUUUUCAUAACUUUUAUUACUAAUUUUUAUGUUGUUUGCGAUUUUGUGUCCUGGGAUUUCUGAAUUUUAUCGUUCAUUGUCGGUUUUUUAAAUUUUUUUUUGUCUUCAUUUGUUUGUUUAAUAUGUUGUGUUUGUCCUGGGACGCCGUUUUGCAAGUUUUCUUUCCAUUGGGACCGCUACAUUUUAUAAGUGAUGCGGGUGAGGUUUAGAUACUCAAAACACUCCAUUUUUUUUUUUUUCCAAACAUGCACGUUUGGUUCUCUUCGGUUUUAAAUGUUUAAAAUUAAAUGGUUAUUUUGAUAAAAUGGUUUAUUAGUUUUUCUUAUGUGUUAUGAUCAGGAAUUCAAUUGGAUUGGGUAAAAUGCUUUAUCAAUUUACACUAUAGGGAAUUUUAUG
rnacentral:lncRNA from 1 species